UUUCUCUCUGCCUGACCUUUCAUUCCUGCCUCACAUGAUCGAGGGACGGAGAGCUGCCCUCCAGAUUCAUGGCACCCUCCCUGCCCAAGGUUGAGCAUCCCUUAUCUGAAAAUCCAAAAUCCAAAACUGUUUGAGCACUGACAUGACUUCUCAAGUGGAAAAUUUCACACAUAAGGCUUCAGACUUGGACUGGAGCUACACCCCCACCUCUCC